CUGGGACAAUACGAGCUCUCUUCUGCGGCUGAACUAAAAGCCUGAAGUGUGCCCCGUUUGGGAGUUUGAGUUAAUUUCCCCCAUUUGAUCCUUCCUCUGCUGUCGGGGUCCAGCAGGGCCUGUCGGGGGCCGAGAGGGAGACGCUCUCCACCAAAAUAAUAAGCACUAAAAACAGCUGUGAGUGUAAGUGGCAGGCCGAAGAAUGCAUGAAAGGGUCCCAACAGAUGCCGGACAUUGGGAAGACAUUGGAUAAGUAGAGUGUCCUAACAAAGACCAGCAGCUUCAUGCGGAGGAUCCAACAAAGACACAAAACCCGGGCAGGGGUCCCUGAUGAGGAAAAGGACAAGAGCAGAAUGGGUGGAGAAAACGGAGCAGAAAAGGGCCGGAGGAUAAGUGAGGAUGUAUGGUCGGAGGAUGAAUUUAACAAAGUACAGCUGACCACAGGAGGCCUCAAAGUUACUCAGAGACUGUAAACUCCAACUGGCAUUUACUGCUGUUGCUGUAAUGAUGCAGCUUUUCACUGUACAUGUGCUUUUAAUUCCAUUAUUUUACUUUGACUAGUAACUGGGCUGGCUACAUCUAUUAUAGAAUACGCCUCUUCUGUUAAGCCUACUUGUGUAUUGUAUCAUGUCAAAUUAUUUGUUAUCAUAUCUGAUAAACUAAAAUAAUCGUU